CCUCCAAGCCUAAGUACUCCUUGACGACCGAUAGUGUACCAGUACCGUGAGGGAAAGGUGAAAAGCACCCCGAUAAGGGGAGUGAAAUAGUUCCUGAAACCGGAUGCCUACAAGCAGUUGGAGCCUCUUUAUGGGGUGACAGCGUACCUCUUGCAUAAUGGGUCAGCGAGUUAGUCUUACAAGCAAGCUUAAGCCGAUAGGUGUAGGCGCAGCGAAAGCGAGUCUUAAUAGGGCGAUUGAGUUUGUGGGAUUAGACCCGAAACCAGGUGAUCUAGCCAUGAGCAGGUUGAAGGUGAUGUAACAGUCACUGGAGGACCGAACCCACGUCUGUUGAAAAAGACGGGGAUGACUUGUGGUUAGGGGUGAAAGGCCAAUCAAACCUGGAGAUAGCUGGUUCUCCGCGAAAUCUAUUUAGGUAGAGCGUCAGACGAAUACCAUCGGGGGUAGAGCACUGAAUGGGCUAGGGGGCCUUACCGGCUUACCAAACCUAAUCAAACUCCGAAUACCGAUGAGUACUAUCUGGCAGACAGACUACGGGUGCUAAGGUCCGUGGUCGAGAGGGAAACAGCCCAGACCGCCAGUUAAGGUCCCAAAGUUGUGGCUAAGUGGGAAAGGAUGUAGGACGGCCAAGACAACCAGGACGUUGGCUUAGAAGCAGCCAUCGUUUAAAGAAAGCGUAACAGCUCACUGGUCUAAAUAAGCUGUCCCGCGCCGAAGAUGUACCGGGGCUCAAGCCACACACCGAAACUGCGGACUUGUUCUUUGAACAAGUGGUAGCGGAGCGUUCCGUAAGCCUGUGAAGGUGUGCCGUAAGGCAUGCUGGAGGUAUCGGAAGCGAGAAUGCUGACAUGAGUAGCGAUAAAGGGAGUGAGAACCUCCCUCGCCGAAAGCCCAAGGGUUCCUGCGCAAGGCCAAUCCGCGCAGGGUGAGUCGGCCCCUAAGACGAGGCAGAAAUGCGUAGUCGAUGGGAAACAGGUUAAUAUUCCUGUACCCGUGAGAAGUGACGGCCUCUGGAAGUAGUUUUUCCUUAUUGGAUUGGAGAAGCUGCCAAGGAGGUCCAGGAAAUAACUCUCACAUAUGGACCGUACCCCAAACCGACACAGGUGGGCAGGUUGAAUAUACCAAGGCGCUUGAGAGAAUGGUGUUGAAGGAACUCGGCAAAUUGCCCCCGUAACUUCGGGAGAAGGGGGCCCACCGUGAAGGCAACUUUACGGUGGGGGCACAGACUAGGGGGUGGCGACUGUUUACUAAAAACACAGGGCUCUGCGAAGUCGCAAGACGACGUAUAGGGUCUGACGCCUGCCCGGUGCCGGAAGGUUAAGAGGAGAUGUGCAAGCAUUGAAUUGAAGCCCCGGUAAACGGCGGCCGUAACUAUAACGGUCCUAAGGUAGCGAAAUUCCUUGUCGGGUAAGUUCCGACCUGCACGAAUGGCGUAACGACUUCCCCACUGUCUCCAACACCAACUCAGCGAAAUUGAAUUCUCCGUGAAGAUGCGGAGUACCCGCGGUCAGACGGAAAGACCCCGUGCACCUUUACUACAGCUUUGCAGUGGUAUCAGGAUGUGAAUGUGCAGAAUAGGUGGGAGGCUUUGAAGCCAUGGCGCCAGCCAUGGUGGAGCCACCUUUGAGAUACCACCCUUUUGCUUCCUGAUAUCUAACCGAGGUCCGUUAUCCGGAUCCGGGACCCUGCAUGGCGGGUAGUUUGACUGGGGCGGUCGCCUCCCAAAGAGUAACGGAGGCGCGCGAUGGUAGGCUCAGGCUGGUCGGACAUCAGCUUAAGAGUGCAAUGGCAAAAGCCUGCCUGACUGCGAGACUGACAAGUCGAGCAGAGACGAAAGUCGGUCAUAGUGAUCCGGUGGUCCCGCGUGGAAGGGCCAUCGCUCAACGGAUAAAAGGU
rnacentral:rRNA from 1 species